UCACUUGCCGACACUUUGCC
rnacentral:siRNA from 1 species